UAAUCAACCUCAGAUCUACAGAGAGCCACUUUGAAAAUGAUUUCAGCUGCCAAAAAAAAUAAUGUCAUUUACAAGCAGCUCUUCCUAUGUCCAAUUAAGCAACAGCCAAACAUGUUAGAGAGGGAAGAAAAGCUUCUGUAGUGAAGGCAGGAGCAAUGUGAGAGAGAUAGGGACCUGGUGCACCCCACCCAAAAGAAAACAGAAAUAAUGUGCGGAGAACCCUAAUGAAACUAUCAAGUCCUUCCAAAAGACCCAAUGAAUGUAAAGAGAUUCAUAUCAACCGGUUCCAGGCUCCAAAUUCCUGGCAUUCUUCAGGAUGACCUAGAACCAGUAGGAAGAAGCCUAAAUAUGAGAACUUGAUUUUUCACAAAUGUGCUUCACAGAAAUGUGCUGAAUACAUUUUGACAGGCCUAGAAGGAGACCAAUCAUCUGACUUUGAAGAGAUACUGUUAUGAAAAUAGAUUUACCCUCACUGUGUUCUGGCUCUGGUGACUGAAUCAGUGCAGGAAUUCUAUCCAGUUUGUAACUGUGUAUUAACACAGGACAAUAAGCUUACGCCAUAGGUGCCAGCUAGGGUUGUACUGGUUAGCCUCAGUAUGUUGGAGCAUGCUAUUUUCUUGUACCUAUCUUUGCUUCAGUGAUAAAUUGACCAAAGAGGUAAUCAUACAACAUUUAUUAAAGCUUAGUAUUGACCAAGAGAACUUCUG